UAGGGAAUCUUCGGCAAUGGGGGCAACCCUGACCGAGCAACGCCGCGUGAGUGAAGAAGGUUUUCGGAUCGUAAAGCUCUGUUGUAAGAGAAGAACGUGUGUGAGAGUGGAAAGUUCACACAGUGACGGUAACUUACCAGAAAGGGACGGCUAACUACGUGCCAGCAGCCGCGGUAAUACGUAGGUCCCGAGCGUUGUCCGGAUUUAUUGGGCGUAAAGCGAGCGCAGGCGGUUUAAUAAGUCUGAAGUUAAAGGCAGUGGCUUAACCUUUGUUCGCUUUGGAAACUGUUAAACUUGAGUGCAGAAGGGGAGAGUGGAAUUCCAUGUGUAGCGGUGAAAUGCGUAGAUAUAUGGAGGAACACCGGUGGCGAAAGCGGCUCUCUGGUCUGUAACUGACGCUGAGGCUCGAAAGCGUGGGGAGCAAACAGG
rnacentral:rRNA from 1 species